GGAAGUGUGCCCGAAUAUAAGGA
rnacentral:tRNA from 1 species